CCACAGCCGGCGACGUUUCUUUCAAGUGUCUGCCUUAUCAACUUUCGAUGGUAGGUUACUUGCUUACCAUGGUUGUUACGGGUAACGGAGAAUCAGGGUUCGAUUCCGGAGAGGGAGCCUGAGAAACGGCUACCACAUCCAAGGAAGGCAGCAGGCGCGCAAAUUACCCACUCCCGGCACGGGGAGGUAGUGACGAAAAACAAGUAACAAUACGGCGCACUCUUUUGAGCCCCGUAAUCUGAAAUGAGUACACUCUAAACCUUAACGGCUAUCAAUUGGAGCGGCCAAGUUCUUUGCCAGCAGCCGCGGUAAUUCCAGCUUCAAGUAGCGUAUACAAAGCCUAGCUCGCGGUUAAAAAGGCUCGCCUUGUUGGAUCCAGUUCCAGACGACUGAUGCCAUCUACCCGCAUGCGACGGCUCGGACGCAAAACCCCCAUUUCAUGCCGCGUUCUUUCUGGUGCACUCAGUUGUGUGCCUCGCAGAUGCGCCGCUGCUUUUACUUUGAAAAAAUUAGAGUGCUCAACGCAGGCGAGUCGCCUGAAUAAACUUGCAUGGAAUAAUAGAACAAGACCUCGUUUCUGUUCUGUUGGUUUUUGGAAUACGCGGUAAUGAUUAAGAGGGACGGACGGGGGCAUUCGUAUUGCGGCGCUAGAGGUGAAAUAUUCUUGCACCUCGCAAGACGAACUACUGCGCAAAGCAUUUGCCAAGAAUGUUUUCAUUGACAAGAAGCAAAGUCAGAGGUUCGAAGGCGAUCAGAUACCGCCCUAGUUCUGACCAUAAACGAUGCCAACCAGCGAUCCGCCUGAGUUACUCAAAUGACUCGGCGGGCAGCUUCCGGGCGCCAAACCAAAGUUUUGGCGUUCCGGGGGAAGUAUGUUGCAAAGCUGAAACUCUAAAGAAUGACGCGAAGGGCACCAGAGUCGAGCCUGCGGCUUAAUAUUGACUCAACACGGGAAACAUACCCGCCGCCACACUGGGCAGCAGCUUGACAGGUUGAGAGCUCUUUCUUGAUUCGGUGGAUGGUGGUGCAUGGCCGUUCUUAGUUGGUGGAGCGAUUUCUCUCGUUCGUUAAUCGAUAACGAACGAGACUAUAGCCUAUUAAAUACGGUGCGGGUUCCCACACGCUUACAACCCUUUCUUAGAGACAGCACUCCUAGCCCACGGGAAACAGCAGCAAUAACAGGUCUGCUGUGAUGCCCUAGAUUCCGGCCGCACGCCGCGCUACACUGAAGGAAGCAGCGUUGUCUUGUAUCCCGCUCUGAAAAGACUGCCGGUAAAAAAACCCCCCCUUUGGCACUUUCUUUCGUGAUGCGGAUAGGGCGCUUGCAAUGGUCCCUGAGAGGGAAUUCCAGUAAGCCGCGAUCUAAGCCUGCCGUUGAAUACGCCUCCCUGCCCCCUUUGUACACACCGCCCGCUCAGUACUACGCAUUGAAUCGAUUGUAGUGAGCGUCUUCGCCGACCAUGUCCGCGCCGCGCCUUUCCGGUUGCCGGGUCUGUUGCGAAAGAUGACCAAACUUGAUCAUUUGAGGCAAGUAAAAGUCGUACGAAGGUUCCGUAGGUGAACCUGCGAAGG
rnacentral:rRNA from 1 species